GCCUAAACCGGCGCGAGCGAUCCCAGCCGGCCCGCCCGGCGCCGCCGCCGCCGCCCGCGCGCCCCGCUAUACAUACGGCAUAUGUCGCGCGGCGCUCGCGCUCGCGGCCGCGCAGCCUAGCCUGCUGGCGGGGGAGGGCGGGGCGAGCGCGCUGCGGCGCUUCCGCUUUACACGCCCCAGCCGGUGACCGGUUCGAUCUGGCUUGGGCCACCCUGACACCUUUACAGUUGAGGAGAGGGAAACUGGGGCGACGGCGAGGAGGGUGGGGAACGCAACAGCCCCGAGAAACAAUGGGGAGGGGCAGGGAAUACUCGCCGAGGCCCGCACCCCACCCAGCUUUUGACGUUAGUGCCACUUUCCUCUUCUGGCCAGCCUUUGCUCUCUCCCCUCAGGUCAAACCAAGGUAGCCCGUCCGGUGACUGCACAGACCGGGAAACUCGCUGUUUCGGCUAGAGGCAGACGAGCGUUCGCAGAAGCUGCCUGACAACUUCCAGCCGAAAAACUGGAAAAUGGGAUCCCGCCAGCCCGCCCCGCCCAACUAUGAAUAGGAUCGUCAGCUAAAAAGUUGCGCCCAGAGCCAUUCGGCACCUGGGAGGCCGGCAGGGGCUUCUCCCCUCCACUCUGUCGAAACCUAAGCCGCUCUUUCCGGGGGCUGCCAGCAGGCCGAGGUUGUAAAAUAUAUGGCCUAUAAAAAAUCAUUUCCUUUGGGAAAGAAUUGCAGAAAAGUCAUCAUCCUUUGAAGACAAGUUUGAAUAAAAGGUAAUAACCAGCACACAGAACACUUUCUAUCUGCAAGAAGAAAUACAAAGGAGUUGGAGUUAGAAGUAGAUCUCUAAUCAGCCAAUUUGAAUGUGCUUGAACACAGAUGUGGCAGGGACUCCAUUUCCAGUGUUCAAAUAAGGACAACACGAGGGGUGUGGUGGAGCAACGAGGUGGAAGAAACCUAGUCCCUGAAUGACCUUGUGGGGAAGAGCCAUCCAGACAGCCAGCCAGCCAGGACUACUCCUAUCGGGACUAUUCUGUAAGAGAUAAGUAAACUUUUGUCUUAAGCCACUGAAUUGUUUGGAUCUAUAUUAUCAUAGUUUAGCCUUUACCCUAACUAAUAAAACAUCUGUGGAAUAAGUACCAGGCACAGGCCCUCUACUCUAUUUCCACUUUAAUUUUUCAUUUAUAUUCUAUACAUAAUAAAUAAUACAGUUAUAUAUAAUAAACUAUAAACAUUUAUAAUUUAA